rnacentral:tRNA from 1 species
GGAGAGAUGGCAGAGUGGUUUAUUGCAUCGGUCUUGAAAACCGAAGUGCCGGCAACGGUACCGUGGGUUCGAAUCCCUCUCUCUCCGCCA